GCCGGGCAGGUGGGGCUCGUUAGCCGUGGUAGGCAAUCUGCCUAGGAGAGCAAACUCCGAACAACAAACCCGGGCAGGUGAGGUUCGUUAGCCGUGGUAGGCAAUUCACCUAGGAGAGCAAACUCCGAACAAUAAACCCGGGCAGGUGAGGUUCGUUAGCCGUGGUAGGCAAUUCACCUAGGAGAGCAAACUCCGAACAAUAAACCCGGGCAGGUUGGGCUCGUGAGCCGUCAUAGGUAAUACACCUAGGAGAGCAAACUCCGAACAAUAAACCCGGGCAGGUUGGGCUCGUGAGCCGUCAUAGGUAAUACACCUAGGAGAGCAAACUCCGAACAAUAAACCCGGGCAGGUGCAGGUCGUUAGCGUGAGCAGUUCACCUAGGAGAGCAAACUCCGAUUACAAACCCGGGCAGGUGGAGGUCGUUAGCGAAAGCAAUUCAUCUAGGAGAGCAAACUCCGAUUACAAACCCGGGCAGGUGGAGGUCGUUAGCGAAAGCAAUUCAUCUAGGAGAGCAAACUCCGAUUACAAACCCGGGCAGGUGGAGGUCGUUAGCGAAAGCAAUUCAUCUAGGAGAGCAAACUCCGAUUACAAACCCGGGCAGGUGGAGGUCGUUAGCGAAAGCAGUUCACCUAGGAGAGCAAACUCCGAUUACAAACCCGGGCAGGUGAGGUUCGUUAGCCGUGGUAGGCAAUUCACCUAGGAGAGCAAACUCUGAACAAUAAACCCGGGCAGGUUGGGCUCGUGAGCCGCCAUAGGUAAUACACCUAGGAGAGCAAACUCCGAACAAUAAACCCGGGCAGGUGGAGCUCGUCAGCCGUGGUAGGCAGUCUGCCUAGGAGAGCAAACUCCGAACAAUAAACCGGGGCUUGUGGUGCUCGUUAGAUGUCGUAGACAAUCCACGUGAUGGGAACACCAAUGAAAAGGAAAAUAAAAAGGAACACCAGAAAAAGGAAAAUAAUGUAACAAAACAUCAAGAAAAGAAAAUAAAAAACACAGAUCAUCCACCUUCAGGCCCUAACAUCUCCAAAAUUAUGGAUGAGUCUUUUCUGGGGAGAAAGAGGCUCAUCCAGACCAAAGAACAUCAAAAGUGGAUGAUAUAGAAAGGAACACCAAAAAAAUGGGAAAAAGAGAAAAAAACAUCGCAAAAGAAAAGUAACAACAAUAACAGAAGGUCAAGAAAAGUAACAUACAAAGAAACAUCAUCCACCAUUCGGCCCCAAACUAACAUCACCAAAAUUAUGGGUGGGUCUUUUCUGGGGAGAAAGAGGCUCACCCAGACCAACGAACAUCAAAGAGGGAUGAUAUAGAAAAGAACACCAAAAAAUAGGGGAAAAAAGAGCAAAAAAAUAUCGCAAAAGAAAAGUAACAGCAAUAACAGAACAACAUCAAGAAAAGUAACAUACAAAGAAACAUCAUCCACCAUUCGGCCCCAAACUAACAUCACCAAAAUCAUGGGUGGGUCUCUUCUGGGAGGAAAGCGGCUCACCCAGACCAAUGAACAUCAACAAGAGGAUGAUAUGAAAUAAAAGAACAUCAAAAAAGAAAAACAACAGCAAGAAAACAAAGAAAAAGAUAAAGAAAAGAACAGGAAAAAGAAACAAAAAGAAAAAGAAAAACACCAAAAUAAAAUAAAACAAAAACAAAAAAAUAAUCCAAAUAAAUAAAUAAAUAAACAAAUACAGAAUACAGUAAAAUUAACGAACUAACUAACUAAUUCAAACUGUCUAACUAUUAAACUACCUAUCUAACUAAGGGUAUUAUACAAGGGUACUAUUGGACUACCUAUUAACUAACUAACUAUCAAAUCAUCUAACGAUCGAACAUGUAUUUGUCUGACUCUUUAUCUAUUUAUCUGCAUGGCUAUCUAUC